AGACUGGUUCCCGUACGAUCAUCGAAGUUAUGCAACAUCGAGCCAGGUUAGUACCAAAUGGGUGUCCACUUGGGAAUACCAAAUGCUGUAAG